rnacentral:rRNA from 1 species
GACGAACGCUGGCGGCGUGCUUAACACAUGCAAGUCGAACGGACAGGCGCUGCUCUUGUGCGGUGCUCGAGUGGCGAACGGGUGAGUAACACGUGAGUAACCUGCCCCUGACUUUGUGAUAACAUCAGGAAACUGGGGCUCAUACCGGAUAGAAGCUACUGAUGCAUGGUGGGGGUUGGAAAGUUUCGGCGGUUGGGGAUGGACUCGCGGGUUAUCAGCUUGUUGGUGUGGUAGUGGCUUACCAAGGCUAUGAAGGGUAGCCGGCCUGAGAGGGGGACCGGCCACAUUGGGACUGAGAGACGGCCCAGACGCCUACGGGAGGCAGCAGUGGGGAAUAUUGCACAAUGGGCGGAAGCCUGAUGCAGCAACGCCGCGUGCGGGAUGACGGCCUUCGGGUUGUAAACCGCUUUCGCAUGUGACGAAGCGUGAGUGACGGUAAUGGGUAAAGAAGCACCGGCUAACUACGUG